UGCACAACUGUUGCGGUACAGUAGGUUGUUGAUAUGAUGAUUGGUCGAAUAGGCUACAGCACAGUUGUUGUUUAUCCAAAAUAAAAAGUGUCCAGCGGUAAUUCAGAUUCAGCACAAUGCUUCAGAGGAAACCGUCAAACGUCUCAAACAAAGACCCAAAGAGUAAGACAAAACCAAAGCGCUCCACCAGCUUUGGCCGAUUUGACACCUUCCGACACCAACCAGCCCCAGUGAAGCCAGAGGAAAAUGGCGAUUCUUCGUCUGCAGAGGGAGAGCAGGUUGACAGUGGUGACCAGACCAGAUCAGGAGGUAUAGGGAAGAAGAUGAAGGCCAUCUCACUGACGAUGAUGAAGAGGAUGGGCAGGAAUUAUGCCAAAGCCCUGUCAGAGGAAAUGGUUGACGGGACAGAGAGAGAUGAAGAAGGAGAAGGGGAUAUUGUUAAUGGUGUCCAUUCAUUUCCAAAAGGACACAGAGUGUCCAGUCACUCCCUUGAAAGUAUCUACUGUCUCAACAGUGGACACAGCAAUUCCAGUGGGUUGACCAGUGGGUCAGAUGGCUUCAGUAACAGAGACAGUCUGAGGCUGGAUGAGGAGCUGCCCUACACAGGCCAGUUCUGUGGCAGAGCCCGGGUCCACACAGACUUUGUCCCCAGUCCCUACGACACGGAAUCACUUAAACUUAAGGUGGGGGAUGUGAUUGAGAUAAUCAGCAAGCCUCCUAUGGGUACAUGGACAGGCAUGCUGAACAACAAGGUGGGAAACUUUAAGUUCAUCUACGUGGACCUCAUAGUAGAGAAGGUUCCUGAAACGCCUCAGAAGAUGAGGACACACUGGAAGAGCAGGAGACCCCGUCCCAAAACGCUACAGGAGCUCCUAGAGCGCCUCAAUCUGGAGGAGUAUGCCUCUUCACUGCUCCUGAAUGGCUAUCAAACAGUAGAUGACCUGAAAGAGCUGAAGGAGAAGUAUCUGAUGGAACUCAAUGUGACUGAUCCUGAACACAGACAUCUUCUCAUGGCAGCCAUCGAGUGCCUCCAAGAACCCCAAAGCUGUAAAGAGACAGUUACUAGAAGGACAUGAAAGGAAAGGCAGAGUCGGAGUCAGGAAACAACAUUGAGUGGUGCAAGACAAGACAAGCUACUAACAGGAAAUGUCAUUUUCAGAGGUGAUGGUCAGGAGGGAGAGUUGAACCAGGAAGCCAAGUCCCCGACUGAGAGUAUUUAAAGCGGACCUGAACGACUGCCCCAGAGACUCUGGCUGUUACAUCCCUUCUGACUGCUCAGACAACAGCAAGGAGGAGACAGACAUCCACCUGCCAGCACUGCACCA